UAAUACGAAGGGGGCUAGCGUUGCUCGGAAUCACUGGGCGUAAAGCGCACGUAGGCGGACUCUUAAGUCGGUGGUGAAAUCCUGGAGCUCAACUCCAGAACUGCCUUCGAUACUGAGAGUCUUGAGUCCGGGAGAGGUGAGUGGAACUGCGAGUGUAGAGGUGAAAUUCGUAGAUAUUCGCAAGAACACC
rnacentral:rRNA from 1 species